rnacentral:rRNA from 1 species
AUUGAACGCUGGCGGCAGGCCUAACACAUGCAAGUCGAACGAGUGGCGGACGGGUGAGUAAUGUCUGGGCAACUGCCUGAUGGAGGGGGAUAACUACUGGCAACGGUAGCUAAUACCGCAUACCAUCGGAUGUGCCCAGAUGGGAUUAGCUAGUAGGUGGGGUAACGGAUCACCUAGGCGACGAUCCCUAGCUGGUCUGAGAGGAUGACGAGCAACACGGGAACGGAGACACGGUCCAGACUCCGACGGGAGGCAGCAGUGGGGAAUAUUGCACAAUGGGCGCAAGGCUGAUGCAGCCAUGCCGGGUGUAGGAAGAAGGCCUUCGGGUUGUAAAGUACUGUCAGCGGGGAGGCGUUACCCGAAGAAGAAGCACCGGCUAACUCCGUGCCAGCAGCCGCGGUAAUUC